GCCUAGGCUCACCUAGUAAGCCUGCCACCUGAAUACAGCACACCUCCUCAAUGCUUGUUAAAAAUGUCUCACUACCACUAAAAGAUGCUGGAGAUACUAUGUGGUAGAAUGCCUUACUGCUUACAUAUGUUCCAUUUUCCAACAGCUAAUCACCUUUCCAGACCCCGUCCUUACUGGUAGAAGGAGAAAAUUGAUAUCCUGAGCAGGAGGUGGCUAGAGGCUUUCUAGGAUUGGUAGGGAAGUGUUUAAGGAGAUCCUCAGGAAAUGGAGUUUGCCUGGGUCUGACUGUGAGCUAGGGUAAAUUCUGUGUUACUAACCAUUUUAACUAUUAACUGUUUUAUCCAUCCAAGAUAUCAGGCUCAAACUGUCCUCAUAGCACUCAUUUUUCAGUGAUGCAUUUAUAAAUUCGUUGGAAUAAGUGGAGUGAGAAUGUUUUUGCAAAUCUGAGCAAGCAGAAGGGGUUUAGGGGGCGAGCAAUAUGCCUAAAUGGUGACAGUCUUUUUUAAAUAAUUGAUUGCUGGGGGGGUAAAAAAGGCGAAGUUUAAACAUCUGAAAUGUGAAAUCUGUUGGAGUGAGAUACUUUGAAAAGACUUCAAAAUGAGCACCAGGACGUGGCAGUUUUCUGGAGCACUGGAGGGUUCCACAGGAGCUGCCCCCAGAUGCCUUCUGUAUUGCCUGGACCUGGUGCUUCCAGCUGUCAGCUCUGGAGCUGAUAUAGCAGCCCUGUGUUUGAGCAGCUGCAGCCCUGGGAAAGUUGUCUUACAGAGUGAAAGGACACCCAGGCUUCUGGCAGAACUGCCAGGUGGCCUCACAGGAGUUUCCAGGGAGACCAAAGUUUAGGACACAAUCUCAGGAUGAGUUCAGAGUGUUCACUUCAUCAAGCCGUGAUAAUUGACAGGGUUGAUAAACUAGUAAGGAGAAUUAGUGAACAAAUAAGGAUAAGAUGAACUAGAUGAGUGUACUGUGUUUGUGAAAAAUUGAAUGAAAACAUAUAGAAAACAGCUCUUCUUCAGUUGCCUAAAAACAAAAUUUUCAAUUAUAAAUGUAAAAUAUAAACCAACAUUUAGUAAACUUUCCUAUCUCACCAGAAUACUACUAUAUUCAUUAGGAUGUGUAUUAAGAAUAUGUCUGUCUUAAUUUUGCUGUGUUGUACAAGCUUCAGAUCACAUUCCCUGAAUCCCACAGGAAAGCACUGAUUCUGUAGUUCAGAUCACCAUAGUCUGUACCACUGCUUCUGCUAUGGAUAUUUACAUAGCUCAAAGCAAAAGGCCUUGAACAAAGAAAGUAACAACACUUCUAUAAUCCACAAAGUUUGCAGUAGUUAAGGGGCAUGAAGUUCAUCUAGCUUUUUUAGAAUGAAGACAUAUUUCAUUUUAAGAGCUUUCAUCCUAGCAGCAGCUGUGUGAAGCUGGGCACUAUAAUGGUGUAGCCUGUGGACGAAAGAAAGUAACAUUAGGGAUGCCCAUACAUUUGAGUGCUUCAGAAAUUUAUGGGGUAGGUUGGACAAUUUGAAGAUUCAGUAUCUGUAAUGUCUUAUCUUCAGCAGCCCUUCUCUGGGGGAAAGCCUUUUUGUGGAGUUUCUCAUUGUCUAGGCUAUUCUAACACUGAAUCCUUCCUGAACUCUCUAGUGUGGGCUUGCCAGGGUAUCAAAAGAGGAGACCUAACAUGUUCCUAUAAACAUUGCAGAUUCUUACUUUAUAUGCUCUGGAAUGUUCAGAAUCAUAGCACAGGAAGUUCUGUUUUAUAUCUCUGGAUUAUCUAAGUGUAAAUUCACAAAGAAUAGCUAUGAAUGGGACCCUGGGAAGUCAUUUAGAUCUUUCUGGUCCCUAACACUUCACAAAAGGAAUGCAAGUCCACAUUUUUGUUAUUUUGUCUUUUUUUUUUUUUUUUCCCCCUCUAAAUAGUUACUGUUGCAGACCUGUACAUAUAUAUUUAGUUUCUAAGUGACUUGGCAUACAUUUUUCUGAAUUAUGAAAAUAGUGGCUGUAUCAUGUGAAAAUCUGCAGGAAAUCUGUCUUAGAUCCAGUAGUGUUGAGUAAUUUUGUUAAGGAACUGAAUGAUGGAAUAGAUGGUACACUUAUCAAGCUUAAGGCAACAAAAAGAUGGUUGGCACUGUCCUAUAUCUCGAAGCCUGAGUUAAAAUUCAAACUUGUCCUUCAUUUUUUAAUGUCUUUUCUCUCAUUUGUCAAUUCCUUAAGUAAGAAUAUUUUUAAUAAAAAUUAAAAAAUGAAGAACUUCA
rnacentral:lncRNA from 1 species